rnacentral:tRNA from 1 species
UGGGCCGUCGCCAAGCGGUUAAGGCACCGGGUUUUGAUCCCGGCAUUCGGAGGUUCGAAUCCUCCCGGCCCAGCCA